AACGGCCAUACCAUGUUGAAACACCAGUUCUGUACGAUCAUCAAAGUUGAACAACGUCGAACCUGGUCAGUACCUAGAUGGGUGACCGCUUGGGAGUACCAGGGGCUGCAAG